rnacentral:rRNA from 1 species
GAUGAACGCUGGCGGCGUCCCUAAUACAUGCCAGUCGAGCGAACGGACGAGAAGCUUGCUUCUCUGAUGUUAGCGGCGGACGGGUGAGUAACACGUGGAUAACCUACCUAUAAGACUGGGAUAACUUCGGGAAACCGGAGCUAAUACCGGAUGAUAUUUUGAACCGCAUGGUUCAAAAGUGAAAGACGGUCUUGCUGUCACUUAUAGAUGGAUCCGCGCUGCAUUAGCUAGUUGGUAAGGUAACGGCUUACCAAGGCAACGAUGCAUAGCCGACCUGAGAGGGUGAUCGGCCACACUGGAACUGAGACACGGUCCAGACUCCUACGGGAGGCAGCAGUAGGGAAUCUUCCGCAAUGGGCGAAAGCCUGACGGAGCAACGCCGCGUGAGUGAUGAAGGUCUUCGGAUCGUAAAACUCUGUUAUUAGGGAAGAACAUAUGUGUAAGUAACUGUGCACAUCUUGACGGUACCUAAUCAGAAAGCCACGGCUAACUACGUG